CCUACGGGAGGCAGCAGCGGGGGAUAUUGCACAAUGGGGGGAACCCUGAUGCAGCGACGCCGCGUGGGUGAAGGAGUGCUUCGGCAUGUAAAGCCCUAUCGGCAGGGAAGAAGCAAGACGGUACCUGACUAAGAAGCACCGGCUAACUACGCGCCAGCAGCCGCGGUAAUACGUAGGGGGCGAGCGUUAUCCGGAUGCACUGGGUGUAAAGGGAGCGUAGACGGCCAUGCAAGCCAGGGGUGAAAGCCCGGGGCCCAACCCCGGGACUGCCCUUGGAACUGCAUGGCUGGAGGGCGGGAGGGGCAGGCGGAAUUCCUGGUGUAGCGGUGAAAUGCGUAGAUAUCAGGAGGAACACCGGCGGCGAAGGCGGCCUGCUGGACCGCGACUGACGUUGAGGCUCGAAAGCGUGGGGAGCGAACAGGAUUAGAUACCCCAGUAGUC
rnacentral:rRNA from 1 species